AAAGCUUUAAAUCAAGACAAAUAUACACUUAAGAAUUUAAAUAAAACUUUUAAACUUCAAAUAAUAUUCAACCAUUCUCAACCUCUCUUGGACAAUGUGGAGCCAGGAUUCUUUUCAAAACCGUGUUGGAACGGUCUCUGACAGAGGGAGAAAGGUCACUGCUUAAGUGCACUCGUCAAACACAGUCUGUCAGGGUGAGGUACAAUGGGUAAACUUUCCCUUCAGAUUACAGAAAUGUGGGUUAAACCAAACCUUACAUAUCUAUGGGGACCUUUCACCACUAUCAAGAUAUUUAUGCCAGGAAAGGUGAAACCAUUUUUGGCAUUCAAAUCUUGAUACUGGCAAAAGUGUCGCACAGAUAUAACUGCUUAACCUGAGCUAUUCAUGCUUUUGUGUUCGCAUUAUCUCCGUACUUUUCACCUUUUGGCAGAGACCACGCUAUGGAAGAGUACGUCGCUGGUGAAGGCCAAUCACUUUCAAAGAGUGCGUACAAUAUCGAAACACAUUCCUUUGCAUUUUUUCCCCACAAGUAUGCGUGGUUAAUGCAGACUAGAUGUCUUGAAAUAGUUGUCUAGUUGGUGUUUAAACACCUGAACGCCUGCCAGUAAUCCUUUUUAUAUAAUUCAAACCUUGCACAUGAACAGGAUAAGAGCUCCUUUUCCUUUUGUCUGUUCAGGAAAUGUCAUUUCAAGAGCUCAUCAAAGUGCAAUGUGGAAUAGGUACCUAGCCUCUGAAAUAAAAUCCAGAUAAGAAUAAAAAAAUACAUCAAAUUGUUCUGUGGCUGAACACAAAUAUAUAAAAACUCAUCACAUCACAGUCGUCAUGAACACCGCCUUGGAAACGGGCUGACAUUUUGAGCAACGACCCGUAUAAUCGGGGGGCAGCCAGUGCCCGCAAGAGCCCCUAUUAUUUUCUGCAGUGACACUGUUAUUGAUUCACGUGGAGUGGUUUCUAUUUGUCAUUUGUGGUAGUGAGAGGUGAUCGAGGGAUGAUUCUUGGAAGAGCAGCGGAAGACAGAAGAACGCAGAGGGAAAGAACUGUGCCACUAUCUACGCCGCACAAGAAACCUCUCGCACCGAGGGUGGCUUCACGGACCUGGUUUCCAAGGUCACUCUUCGUCGUGGGGCAUCACCGUGGGUCGCUGUCGAGCACCUCCAGGCUCUGGGGGCCAUCGUCUCGGCUCAGCUCCACAAACGUCAGCUCCAGCUCC